rnacentral:rRNA from 1 species
UAGCUUUAAGAAAUUAUUUAAAGUUUUACCUGCCCAGUGGUAUUCUUAACGGCCGCAGUACUUUGACUGUGCUAAGGUAGCAUAAUAAAUUGGCUUUUAAUUAAAGUCGGGUAUGAAAGGGGACUCGGAAAGUGACUGUCUCAAGUAUAUAUAAUUUUAAUUUAAUUAAUGGGUGAAAAUUCCCAUAGGAUUUUUUAUUAGACGAGAAGACCCUAAGAGUUAUAAUUAAAAUGAAUUAAUAUCAUAUAUCAUUUUUGUUGGGGCAACAUUGACUGGAUGAAACCGUCAUUUAAAUAUUUUACAUAACCAAUUUAGUAAAAAAGAAAUAAACUACCUUAGGGAUAACAGCAUAAUUAAUUUUUUAGAUUGUGACCUCGAUGUUGGAUUAGGGACUUAAUUUACUAGCCGUAAAUUAAGAUAGUUCUGUUCGAACUGUAAUACCUU